rnacentral:tRNA from 1 species
GCCUCUGUGGCGCAAUUGGCUAGCGCGUUCGGCUGUUAACCGGAAGGCUGGUGGUUCGAUCCCAC